AGGCUCGUAGCUCAGGGGUAGAGCACCACCUUGACAUGGUGGGGGUCGGCGGUUCGAAACCGCCCGAGCCUA
rnacentral:tRNA from 3 species